UGCAGCCGCCGCGGUAAUACGGAGGGGGUUAGCGUUGUUCGGAAUUACUGGGCGUAAAGCGCGCGUAGGCGGACUAUUAAGUCAGGGGUGAAAUCCCGGGGCUCAACCCCGGAACUGCCUUUGAUACUGGUAGUCUAGAGUUCGAGAGAGGUGAGUGGAACUCCGAGUGUAGAGGUGAAAUUCGUAGAUAUUCGGAAGAACACCAGUGGCGAAGGCGGCUCACUGGCUCGAUACUGACGCUGAGGUGCGAAAGUGUGGGGAGCAAACAGGAUUAGAAACCCGGGUAGUCC
rnacentral:rRNA from 1 species